CAGAAGGCACAGCGGGCAUGAGUAAGUCCUGCUGGAAUGUGGAUCUCUAUGUGGUGCAGCAACAGAAGACCGAGAUCAGAAUAUUAGAUAAGUAUUUUCAGAUAGCAAAUGCAAUUUAAGCUAUGGAAGUUCUUGCCUAAGGUGGACCAUGAAAGGGUAAAAGCUAGCCCACAUGUUGUAGGAUAGAGAGUAGCUGACCCCAUCAGAUAAAAUGAGAGAAAUGGCGUUAACAAAUAAUUCAAAGCCCCAUGGGUAACUGAAUGAAAUAGGUUUUACAUUUGCUUCUAUGAUGUUUACAGUAUAAAAUGCUAUGCCCUCCAGAGAAAAAUUCAAGAGAAUGAUAAAUUUCUGCCCAGAAGCUGCUGCUGUUGCCUCGCGAUCUGUGGAGAAACAGAGAACACUGACAACACAGGGUAGGGAAGACCAACCUUCUGCCCGCUGCAGUUGGAUCUGACACCAGCUGAAAGAUGGAAGCACCGCCCUUCCAUGAGCUGAGUUGUCAGCAAUUCAUCCUUAAGGAGAAUCAAGAGAGACAUUCCGUCUCAGCAACCACGAACACCUUGUUUAAAGCCUAAACGGUGCCUCAUCUCAGUAAGACAUGGGAGGGUUUCGAUUAUUAUUCUCCAUAGCGAUGUAUCAACAACACUGCCAAUCAUUCUGUAGAGAAAGAAAGACCUUGCCAAAAAGAGGGGUUGCUAGGAAAGAGUUCAGAGUAGCCCUAGGUAUCAAAGAUACUAGUACCGUCAUUGAGGUUCUGGACUCUGGUUUAGAGUAAAUACUGUUCUCAUUUUGGCCUCACACAAGCUUCUUAAGUAGCAGGUCUUUCACCUCCUAGUGUAAUCUGUACACUAAUGUCACCUCUAUCUCUCCCUUUUAGAAUGUGUCAUCCGUACCCUUUCAAUCCAAUUAGAAGUCCACCCUCCAGUGCUUUUGCUCUUAAGUUUUCUUUCCUGGCUCUAUGACCCAACACUCUCUUGUUUCGAUUCUAUACCAUAAUGAAAUGUGUC
rnacentral:lncRNA from 1 species